ACUGUUUCGGCUAGGGGGCCAUCCCGGCUUACCAACCCGAUGCAAACUGCGAAUACCGGAGAAUGUUAUCACGGGAGACACACGGCGGGUGCUAACGUCCGUCGUGAAGAGGGAAACAACCCAGACCGCCAGCUAAGGUCCCAAAGUCAUGGUUAAGUGGGAAACGAUGUGGGAAGGCCCAGACAGCCAGGAUGUUGGCUUAGAAGCAGCCAUCAUUUAAAGAAAGCGUAAUAGCUCACUGGUCGAGUCGGCCUGCGCGGAAGAUGUAACGGGGCUAAACCAUGCACCGAAGCUGCGGCAGCGACGCUGAUGCGUUGUUGGGUAGGGGAGCGUUCUGUAAGCCUGUGAAGGUGGCCUGUGAGGGUUGCUGGAGGUAUCAGAAGUGCGAAUGCUGACAUAAGUAACGAUAAAGCGGGUGAAAAGCCCGCUCGCCGGAAGACCAAGGGUUCCUGUCCAACGUUAAUCGGGGCAGGGUGAGUCGACCCCUAAGGCGAGGCCGAAAGGCGUAGUCGAUGGGAAACGGGUUAAUAUUCCCGUACUUGGUGUUACUGCGAAGGGGGGACGGAGAAGGCUAUGUUGGCCGGGCGACGGUUGUCCCGGUUUAAGCGUGUAGGUGUGUGUUCCAGGUAAAUCCGGUUCACUUUAACACUGAGGCGUGAUGACGAGGCACUACGGUGCUGAAGCAACAAAUGCCCUGCUUCCAGGAAAAGCCUCUAAGCAUCAGGUAACAUCAAAUCGUACCCCAAACCGACACAGGUGGUCAGGUAGAGAAUACCAAGGCGCUUGAGAGAACUCGGGUGAAGGAACUAGGCAAAAUGGUGCCGUAACUUCGGGAGAAGGCACGCUGACACGUAGGUGAAGUGAUUUACUCAUGGAGCUGAAGUCAGUCGAAGAUACCAGCUGGCUGCAACUGUUUAUUAAAAACACAGCACUGUGCAAACACGAAAGUGGACGUAUACGGUGUGACGCCUGCCCGGUGCCGGAAGGUUAAUUGAUGGGGUCAGCGCAAGCGAAGCUCCUGAUCGAAGCCCCGGUAAACGGCGGCCGUAACUAUAACGGUCCUAAGGUAGCGAAAUUCCUUGUCGGGUAAGUUCCGACCUGCACGAAUGGCGUAAUGAUGGCCAGGCUGUCUCCACCCGAGACUCAGUGAAAUUGAACUCGCUGUGAAGAUGCAGUGUACCCGCGGCAAGACGGAAAGACCCCGUGAACCUUUACUAUAGCUUGACACUGAACAUUGAGCCUUGAUGUGUAGGAUAGGUGGGAGGCUUUGAAGUGUGGACGCCAGUCUGCAUGGAGCCGGCCUUGAAAUACCACCCUUUAAUGUUUGAUGUUCUAACGUGGACCCGUGAUCCGGGUUGCGGACAGUGUCUGGUGGGUAGUUUGACUGGGGCGGUCUCCUCCUAAAGAGUAACGGAGGAGCACGAAGGUUGGCUAAUCCUGGUCGGACAUCAGGAGGUUAGUGCAAUGGCAUAAGCCAGCUUGACUGCGAGCGUGACGGCGCGAGCAGGUGCGAAAGCAGGUCAUAGUGAUCCGGUGGUUCUGAAUGGAAGGGCCAUCGCUCAACGGAUAAAAGGUACUCCGGGGAUAACAGGCUGAUACCGCCCAAGAGUUCAUAUCGACGGCGGUGUUUGGCACCUCGAUGUCGGCUCAUCACAUCCUGGGGCUGAAGUAGGUCCCAAGGGUAUGGCUGUUCGCCAUUUAAAGUGGUACGCGAGCUGGGUUUAGAACGUCGUGAGACAGUUCGGUCCCUAUCUGCCGUGGGCGCUGGAGAACUGAGGGGGGCUGCUCCUAGUACGAGAGGACCGGAGUGGACGCAUCACUGGUGUUCGGGUUGUCAUGCCAAUGGCACUGCCCGGUAGCUAAAUGCGGAAGAGAUAAGUGCUGAAAGCAUCUAAGCACGAAACUUGCCCCGAGA
rnacentral:rRNA from 1 species